rnacentral:rRNA from 1 species
UACGUAGGGGGCAAGCGUUGUCCGGAUUUACUGGGCGUAAAGCGCGCGUAGGCGGAAGCUCAAGUCUGGCCUGAAAGCCCCCGGCUCAACCGGGGAGUGGGGCUGGAAACUGGGUUUCUUGAGGGCGAUAGAGGAGUGUGGAAUUCCUGGUGUAGCGGUGAAAUGCGUAGAGAUCAGGAGGAACACCCGUGGCGAAGGCGGCACUCUGGGUCGGCCCUGACGCUGAGACGCGAAAGCGUGGGGAGCAAACAGG